rnacentral:rRNA from 1 species
UACGUAGGGGGCAAGCGUUAUCCGGAUUUACUGGGUGUAAAGGGAGCGUAGACGGCAGAGCAAGUCUGAAGUGAAAGCCCGCGGCCCAACUGCGGGACUGCUUUGGAAACUGCCCGGCUAGAGUGCUGGAGAGGUAAGCGGAAUUCCUAGUGUAGCGGUGAAAUGCGUAGGUAUUAGGAGGAACACCAGUGGCGAAGGCGGCUUACUGGACAGUAACUGACGUUGAGGCUCGAAAGCGUGGGGAGCAAACAGG